GCGGCAUCUGUGUUUUGCGGAUCCGCAAUUUGCAGACCGCAAAACACGGCAUGGCCUUACUGUGACAAAAAAACAGCACGUAUUAACCCACCCUCAAAAAGCCACAUUUAUCAAUAUAUAAUGUGUCAGUGGACUGUAUCAUACUCCCUCUAGAACACAGGGCAAAAUGUGUUAGGAGAUAUUUUAUUAAAAUGCAAUUUAGAAGCAAAUAAGAUUUUUUUAAUUCAUGUUUUGGAAAUGUAUUUUUAAAUGUGUUAAAUGGUUCUUACAAAUAUAUAAACAAUGUUGGUUCAAUAAAAUAGCAUUUAAAAAU